rnacentral:lncRNA from 1 species
GAGGAGACUACAAAUGCUUUGACAUGAAGAUUUUAAAUGUGAGGCUGGCGUGGUGGCCACGACUGUAAUCCCAGCACUUUGGGAGGCCGAGUGAUGAUCAGGAGAAACAGUCCAAGAAGAAACCUCGCCUCUUCUGUGACAUUUGUGACUGCUUUGAUCUCCACGACACAGAGGAUUGUCCUACCCAGGCACAGAUGUCAGAGGACCCUCCCCAUUCCACACACCAUGGCAGUCGGGGUGAGGAACGCCCAUACUGUGAAAUCUGUGAGAUGUUUGGACACUGGGCCACCAACUGCAAUGACGACGAAACCUUCUGAUGAAGCCUCCAGUGGAGAACUGGGCUUGCUCAGACGCACUC